rnacentral:ncRNA from 1 species
CUAUCGCACUGGGAGAGCUGGAAAGGCCAGCUGAGAAAAAGACCCGAAAAUGUCUUUGAUCCCUAUUACCUGAUCUGGAUCAUGCCAGCGUAGGAAAGUGUAAUUGACAAGAU